CUCUCCAAAACGGCAAACACACGCAACACUCCCAUCAGGCCAUCACCCUUCCUCUCAUCAUCAUUGAGCUCCUCUCUCACUUCCCUCCAGCCACCAGCAAGCCACCGCCGCCGUCGCAGCUUGGAGCUUCAAAGCCACCGUCGCAACGUGGUUCCCCUCCAUCGUGCAGCCAUGCUUGAGCUUCGAAACCACCAAUCCACCAUAGUCAGCCCCGCCUCGCCUCCUGCCUCUGUCGCGCAGCCAUUGUUCUGUCGGCGCCAGCUCUAUUCCACCGCGUCAGUCCUUUGGUCGUGCCCUAUCCCCGUCUUCCCUUCUUGCUGCUGAUCUGCUCUGCUCUAGCAUCUAGUUCUAGCCACGCUUCACUUAAGAGACACUCUUCAAGCUGCCAAGGAUUUCCUUACCUUCGCUGCUGAUUGCAGUAAGAUUUUCAUGGAGGAAAGGGCCAUUCUUCAAAAUCCAGAAAAUAAGUCGCAAAUGAAAGGAAUCAUCAGACGCCUGUUAUCUUAAUGAUUUUCGAUGUCCUGUUUCUCUUAAAUUAAUGAAGAAUCCUGUCAUUGUUUCAACAGCACAGGUAUGCCUGUAUUUUAUCUUUUCUGUAAGGAUAUUUAUAGUUUGUAUUUGAAUGAGAUGAUGCUAUUGGUUUA